rnacentral:rRNA from 1 species
CAGCCGCCGCGGUAACACGAAGGGUGCAAGCGUUACUCGGAAUUACUGGGCGUAAAGCGUGCGUAGGUGGUGGUUUAAGUCCGUUGUGAAAGCCCUGGGCUCAACCUGGGAAUUGCAGUGGAUACUGGGUCACUAGAGUGUGGUAGAGGAUAGUGGAAUUUCCGGUGUAGCAGUGAAAUGCGUAGAGAUCGGAAGGAACAUCUGUGGCGAAGGCGACUAUCUGGGCCAACACUGACACUGAGGCACGAAAGCGUGGGGAGCAAACAGGAUUAGAUACCCCUGUAGUCCCUGUCUCUUAUAA